rnacentral:antisense_RNA from 1 species
GCCAUUUUACCAAGAAAGUUGGGUUUCUUUUACUGGCAAAUAGUACUUCAAGAGCACAGUCUUAUGUGAGCAUGACCCAUCCGCCUGGCACCAGCACCUGGGGCUGCCAGGCAGCCACCCCUGCAGCUGUGUUGACAGGGCCUGGCAGAGGGACUGACCCACCUUUGGAAAAUGACACCAGCAAUAUCAGGAUGUGUCAACUGGAUUUAUGUUAAGAAAAUAGGAUUUUUGGCGUUCCUCUGUUUCCCAAAGUUUGAGACACUUUCAGACACUCUGCUUUGCGGUUGUGGCCGAUGUUACCCAUGGGUGGGACUUUUGCUUUGCUCUAGAUUUUUGUAAUACCCUGGGGAGUUUCAGGGGCCAAUGCUGAGAGAAGACCACAGGCUGACGCAUCAUGAGGUGCCUAACUUACUGAGAAUCAUGCCUGCUGUGAUGCGCCCUUGAAAAUCAUCAGGACUGGAUGGUAGGGGUCCUGAGAGGAUUGGGGGAGGAGGCCCUGAUAUGACAGAGUGGACAGAGGCUGUGGAACCCAGGAUGGCCAGCCUGCUCCACAAUCCUCAUCCCUACAGACCUUCCUGUGUGGCUCCUAAAUAAGAGGAAACCCACUCCUGAUAAGUCAGGAGCUUU